GAUGAACGCUAGCGACAGGCCUAACACAUGCAAGUCGAGGGGCAGCGGGGUAGCAAUACUGCCGGCGACCGGCGCACGGGUGCGUAACGCGUAUGUAACAUGCCCUUUACAGGGGGAUAGCUUCCGGAAACGGGAAUUAAUACCCCAUAAUACUGCGAGACAGCAUUGUUUUGUAGUUAAAGAUUUAUCGGUAAAGGAUUGACAUGCGUAUGAUUAGCUAGUUGGCGGGGUAACGGCCCACCAAGGCGACGAUCAUUAGGGGUUCUGAGAGGAAGAUCCCCCACACUGGUACUGAGACACGGACCAGAAUCCUACGGGAGGCAGCAGUGAGGAAUAUUGGUCAAUGGGCGAGAGCCUGAACCAGCCAUGUCGCGUGCAGGAUGACUGCCCUAUGGGUUGUAAACUGCUUUUGUAUGGGAAGAAAAUGGGGUACGUGUACCCUACUGCCGGUACCAUACGAAUAAGGAUCGGCUAACUCCGUGCCAGCCGCCGCGGUAACAC
rnacentral:rRNA from 1 species